UACGGGGGGGCAAGCGUUGUUCGGAAUUACUGGGCGUAAAGGGCUCGUAGGCGGCCAACUAAGUCAGACGUGAAAUCCCUCGGCUUAACCGGGGAACUGCGUCUGAUACUGGAUGGCUUGAGAUUGGGAGAGGGAUGCGGAAUUCCAGGUGUAGCGGUGAAAUGCGCAGAUAUCAGGAGGAACACCGAUGGCGAAGGCAGGUCUCUGGGCAUUAACUGACGUGAGGAGCGAAAGCAUGGGGGAGCGAAACAGG
rnacentral:rRNA from 1 species